rnacentral:rRNA from 1 species
GUGCACCAGGCGAGAAAACUUCACACUGUGCGAAAGCACGAUGAGGGAAUCCCAAGUGCUUGCACGUAAGUGUAAGCUGUUUCUCUGUCUAAAACGCAGAGAGAGUAAGGGCUGGGUAAGACGGGUGCCAGCCGCCGCGGUAAUACCUGCAGCUCAAGUGGUGACCGUUAUUAUUGGGCCUAAAACGUCCGUAGCCGGUUUAAUAAAUGCCUGGGUAAAUUGUGUAGCUUAACUAUACGAAUUCCGGGUAGACUGUUAAACUUGAGACCGGGAGAAGUUAGAGGUACUCCUGGGGUAGAGGUGAAAUUCUGUAAUCCUAGGGGGACCACCAGUGGCGAAGGCGUCUAACUAGAACGGGUCUGACGGUGAGGGACGAAGCCCUGGGGCGC